UGGCAGUGCGGCAGCUAUACAUGCAGUCGAGCGGACAGAUGGGAGCUUGCUCCCUGAUGUUAGCGGCGGACGGGUGAGUAACACGUGGGUAACCUGCCUGUAAGACUGGGAUAACUCCGGGAAACCGGGGCUAAUACCGGAUGGUUGUUUGAACCGCAUGGUUCAGACAUAAAAGGUGGCUUCGGCUACCACUUACAGAUGGACCCGCGGCGCAUUAGCUAGUUGGUGAGGUAACGGCUCACCAAGGCGACGAUGCGUAGCCGACCUGAGAGGGUGAUCGGCCACACUGGGACUGAGACACGGCCCAGACUCCUACGGGAGGCAGCAGUAGGGAAUCUUCCGCAAUGGACGAAAGUCUGACGGAGCAACGCCGCGUGAGUGAUGAAGGUUUUCGGAUCGUAAAGCUCUGUUGUUAGGGAAGAACAAGUGCCGUUCAAAUAGGGCGGCACCUUGACGGUACCUAACCAGAAAGCCACGGCUAACUACGUGCCAGCAGCCGCGGUAAUACGUAGGUGGCAAGCGUUGUCCGGAAUUAUUGGGCGUAAAGGGCUCGCAGGCGGUUUCUUAAGUCUGAUGUGAAAGCCCCCGGCUCAACCGGGGAGGGUCAUUGGAAACUGGGGAACUUGAGUGCAGAAGAGGAGAGUGGAAUUCCACGUGUAGCGGUGAAAUGCGUAGAGAUGUGGAGGAACACCAGUGGCGAAGGCGACUCUCUGGUCUGUAACUGACGCUGAGGAGCGAAAGCGUGGGGAGCGAACAGGAUUAGAUACCCUGGUAGUCCACGCCGUAAACGAUGAGUGCUAAGUGUUAGGGGGUUUCCGCCCCUUAGUGCUGCAGCUAACGCAUUAAGCACUCCGCCUG
rnacentral:rRNA from 1 species